rnacentral:rRNA from 1 species
GACGAACGCUGGCGGCGUGCUUAACACAUGCAAGUCGAACGAGUGGGAACGGGUGAGUAACACGUGGGUAACCUCCCAUCAGAGGGGAUAACACUUGGAAACAGGGGCUAAACCGCUACUGAUGGAUGGACACGCGGUGCAUUAGCUAGUUGGUGAGGGAAGUGCGAACCAAGGCCAUGAGGCAUAGCCGACCUGAGCGUGUGUUCGUCCACACUGGGACUGAGACACGUCCCAGACUCCUACGCGAGGCAGCAGUAGGGAAUCUUCGGCAAGGGACGAAAGUCUGACCGAGCAACGCCGCGUGAGUGAAUAAGGUUUUCGGAUCGUAAAACUCUGUUGUUAGAGAAGCGGUAUCUAACCAGAAAGCCACGGCUAACUACGUGCCAGCAGCCGCGGUAAUUC